rnacentral:rRNA from 1 species
GACGAACGCUGGCGGCGUGCCUAAUACAUGCAAGUAGAACGCACAGUUUAUACCGUAGCUUGCUACACCAUAGACUGUGAGUUGCGAACGGGUGAGUAACGCGUAGGUAACCUGCCUGGUAGCGGGGGAUAACUAUUGGAAACGAUAGCUAAUACCGCAUAAUAUUAAUUAUUGCAUGAUAAUUAAUUGAAAGGUGCAAUUGCACCACUACCAGAUGGACCUGCGUUGUAUUAGCUAGUAGGUGAGGUAACGGCUCACCUAGGCGACGAUACAUAGCCGACCUGAGAGGGUGAUCAGCCACACUGGGAGUGUGACACGGCCCAGACGCCUACGGGAGGCAGCAGUAGGGAAUCUUCGGCAAGGGACGAAAGGCUGACCGAGCAACGCCGCGUGAGUGAAGAAGGUUGUCGGAUCGUAAAGCUCUGUUGUAAGAGAAGAACGGGUGUGAGAGUGGAAAGUUCACACUGUGACGGUAUCUUACCAGAAAGGGACGGCUAACUACGUG